AAUGGUUAUACACAAGGACAAGGAUGUAGCUAACGGAAUACACCAAAAUAAAUGAAAAUACUUCUUUUGCAUCCAUGAAAUAUAUAUUCAUGCUAUCCUGGUGGUACAGUGUGUGAUUACUUUUCAAAUGUUAAAGAAAGGAUACAAGGAUUUGCACAGUAACAUAAUGAAGAGUUUGAUGUCAAUGAUUUGUGAGCAGAUCCUCUCAUCUUUCAAAGGUGCAUAUUUGUUUAACUUGGAGGCUGAAGAAGCAAAGGCAAAGAAAGUUCACUAAUUUGCACAAGAUCGCACAGAAAUUAUGAAGUGCCAAUUUGAAUCAGGAAAUCUGCAUCUACCAUGGUUAGAAUAUGCAUGAUUUAACUGAACCUCAUCUCCCAAUAUGCCUGUUCCAAAACAUACAUGUGCUCUUGGGCAGCUCAAAUGGCACUGGGAGCCUGGGACCCAACACAGAUAUAGGUGUCUGGAGCUACACACCGAUUAGAACUAUGCAGAGGCUCCUGGGUUUCCACCAAGGCAGCAGGGGCAUAAGGACAUGAUCUGGAAUCAAAGUUUCCGAAAUGGAAACAGUGUUGCUAUCUUUAAUUCUGGAGAUUUCAAGCAUUUAGUGCUCAUCUGAAGUGAAUCUGAGUGUUCUUCUUUUGUGUCAUGUUCCUUUUGUGUCAUUGAAUCAUGAAGAAAGAAUUGGGCUGGGGGAAGAAAUAAUUUCAGCAAGGUUGCUUGGGUAGAAAAGUAUUACAAUUUACUUUCAUUUGCUGAGGCUGCAUUAUCCCAGCUGUUGAGGCAAAGAAAGCUUGAGUCAGUAAGUUAAAUAUGAAAUAGUGUCUUGUUUGUUAAACUACAAUGAACUCCAGAAGGAGAAAAGAAAAACAGAAUACUCUUUUAGUAAGUCACCUAGGGAGAGAGGGCAAAAAGCUAUGUGUGAUAUUGUUAUUUAUAACUAGACAGAUAUAUUUGGUUUCCACUUGUUCCUGACAUACUUAGCAUUUCCUAAAUGAGGAGAGCAAUAAGGAUGUCUUUUGCUAUUCAUAACAAGACCCUUCCAACUACACUCAGUUUACGUUAAUGAGGUGACUUUUGGAAAGCCCCUAAGAAUGAGGGCUAGUUGUUAGGGGAGCCAACUGUAAUUUGAGGGGUGAACUUUUAGUCCUGACUCUGAACUCUGGGGAGGGGAGAGGCUGGAGGUUGAAUCAGUCACUAAUGGCCAAUGAUUCAGUCAAUCAUGCAUACAUAAUAAAGGUUCCAUACAUAACCCUGAACUAUGGUCU
rnacentral:lncRNA from 12 species